GACGAACGCUGGCGGCGUGCUAACACCUGCAAGUCGCACGGAAAGGCCUUUUCGGAGGUACUCGAGUGGCGAACGGGUGAGUAACACGUGGGUGAUCUGCCCUGCACUCUGGGAUAAGCCUGGGAAACUGGGUCUAAUACCGGAUAGGACCGCACUUUAGUGUGUGUGGUGGAAAGUUGUUUCGGUGUAGGAUGAGCCCGCGGCCUAUCAGCUUGUUGGUGGGGUAAUGGCCUACCAAGGCGGCGACGGGUAGCCGGACUGAGAGGUUGGUCGGCCACAUUGGGACUGAGAUACGGCCCAGACUCCUACGGGAGGCAGCAGUGGGGAAUAUUGCACAAUGGGCGCAAGCCUGAUGCAGCGACGCCGCGUGGGGGAUGACGGCCUUCGGGUUGUAAACUCCUUUCGCCAGGGACGAAGCGUUUUGUGACGGUACCUGGAGAAGAAGCACCGGCUAACUACGUG
rnacentral:rRNA from 1 species